rnacentral:rRNA from 1 species
CCGUAGCCCAAGAGAUCGGGAUAACACCUGGAAACAGAUGCUAAUACCGGAUAACAACAGAUGAUGCCUAUCAACUGUUUAAAAGAUGGUUCUGCUAUCACUCUUGGAUGGACCUGCGGUGCAUUAGCUAGUUGGUAGGGUAACGGCCUACCAAGGCGAUGAUGCAUAGCCGAGUUGAGAGACUGAUCGGCCACAUUGGGACUGAGACACGGCCCAAACUCCUACGGAGGCAGCAGUC